rnacentral:rRNA from 1 species
AUUGAACGCUGGCGGCAUGCUUUACACAUGCAAGUCGAACGGCAGCGCGGGCUUCGGCCUGGCGGCGAGUGGCGAACGGGUGAGUAAUACAUCGGAACGUGCCCAGUAGUGGGGGAUAGCUCGGCGAAAGCCGGAUUAAUACCGCAUGCGACCUGAGGGUGAAAGCGGGGGAUCUUCGGACCUCGCGCUAUUGGAGCGGCCGAUGGCAGAUUAGCUAGUUGGUGGGGUAAAGGCCUACCAAGGCGACGAUCUGUAGCUGGUCUGAGAGGACGACCAGCCACACUGGGACUGAGACACGGCCCAGACUCCUACGGGAGGCAGCAGUGGGGAAUUUUGGACAAUGGGCGAAAGCCUGAUCCAGCAAUGCCGCGUGUGUGAUGAAGGCCUUCGGGUUGUAAAGCACUUUUGGCGGGAACGAAAAGGACUGUGCCAAUACCACGGUUCGAUGACGGUACCCGCAGAAUAAGCACCGGCUAACUACGUG